rnacentral:tRNA from 1 species
GCCAGCAUGGUUUAGUGGUAUGAGCAUUGGACUAUGAAUCUGGAGACCAGGGUUCGAAUCCCGGCUUCACCA